rnacentral:rRNA from 1 species
UACGUAGGGUGCGAGCGUUAAUCGGAAUUACUGGGCGUAAAGAGUGCGUAGGCGGUUUUGUAAGACAGGUGUGAAAUCCCCGGGCUUAACCUGGGAACUGCACUUGUGACUGCAAGGCUAGAGUGUGUCAGAGGGGGGUGGAAUUCCACGUGUAGCAGUGAAAUGCGUAGAGAUGUGGAGGAACACCGAUGGCGAAGGCAGCCCCCUGGGAUAACACUGACGCUCAGGCACGAAAGCGUGGGGAGCAAACAGG